ACAACGCGAGAGUCAGAGUGACCAAA
rnacentral:piRNA from 1 species